GGUCUGAGCAUGCACUGCAUCAGGCCUAUCUACUGCUACCUCCGGCUGUCUGCCCUGCUGGCUUCAUCGGACAAAACAAGUCGCAGGAAGCUGUACCACGUGCACUGCACUGGGACCACCUGACCAGCACGGUAACGUCGACGGAGACAUCGUGGCACCCGGAUAAAAGCAGCAGCCUUUUCGACGUUCCCUUCAGUGGACUUGGAAGCACCUAACGAGCACGGAUGCUGAUCAAAUUUUUUCUGAUCGCACAGGCGAUCUUUGGAAACUUCAGUGAUACCUGACGACUGGCGAAGGGCCAAAGUAAUACCUGUGCACAAAUCUGGCUCUAAACUCGACCUGGACAAGUCGGAAUGGCAAUGCACCUUGGAGAACAAGACUCGAAUUGUGAAAGUCUGGUGGUUUCACAGAACUUUGUUUUAUGUCAAGAUGGGCUGACACCAUGUCACCUGAUGCUGUCACUCUCUGGUAAGCAUGUUAAAAAAAUAAAAACAAUCCAGUUUGAACA
rnacentral:misc_RNA from 1 species